rnacentral:rRNA from 1 species
CCUACGGGAGGCAGCAGUGGGGAAUAUUGGGCAAUGGGCGCAAGCCUGACCCAGCAACGCCGCGUGAAGGAAGACGGCUUUCGGGUUGUAAACUUCUUUUAAGAGGGAAGAGCAGUGGACGAUACCUCUUGAAUAAGCCAUGGCUAACUACGUGCCAGCAGCCGAGGUAAUACGUAGGGGGCAAGCGUUAUCCGGAUUUACUGGGUGUACAGGGCGUGUAGCCGGGCUGACAAGUCAGGUGUGAAAUUCCGGGGCUCAACCCCGGACCUGCAUUUGAAACUGUUGGUCUUGAGUAUCGGAGAGGCAGGCGGAAUUCGUAGUGUAGCGGUGAAAUGCGUAGAUAUUAGGAGGAACACCAGUGGCGAAGGCAGCCUGCGGGACGACAACUGACGGUGAGGCGCGAAAGCGUGGGGAGCAAACAGGAUUAGAUACCCUAGUAGUC